AAGACCUCGCGCUAUUGGAGCGGCCGAUGUCCGAUUAGCUAGUUGGUGGGGUAAUGGCCCACCAAGGCAACGAUCGGUAGCUGGUCUGAGAGGAUGAUCAGCCACACUGGGACUGAGACACGGCCCAGACUCCUACGGGAGGCAGCAGUGGGGAAUUUUGGACAAUGGGCGAAAGCCUGAUCCAGCCAUGCCGCGUGAGUGAAGAAGGCCUUCGGGUUGUAAAGCUCUUUCGGCCGGAACGAAAUCGAUCGGGCUAAUACCUCGGUUGGAUGACGGUACCGGAAGAAGAAGCACCGGCUAACUACGUGCCAGCAGCCGCGGUAAUACGUAGGGUGCAGGCGUUAAUCGGAAUUACUGGGCGUAAAGCGUGCGCAGGCGGCUUCCUAAGUCAGAUGUGAAAUCCCCGGGCUUAACCUGGGAACU
rnacentral:rRNA from 1 species